rnacentral:snRNA from 1 species
GUGCUCGCUUGGGCAGCACAUAUACUAAAAUUGAUCAUUCAGAGAAUAUU